UACGUAGGGGGCAAGCGUUGUCCGGAUUUAUUGGGCGUAAAGAGCGUGUAGGCGGCUUGGUAGGUCCGCUGUGAAAACUCGAGGCUCAACCUCGAGAUGUCGGCGGAAACCACUUGGCUAGAGUCCGGAAGAGGAGAGUGGAAUUCCCGGUGUAGCGGUGAAAUGCGCAGAUAUCGGGAAGAACACCUAUGGCGAAGGCAGCUCUCUGGGACGGUACUGACGCUGAGGCGCGAAAGCUAGGGGAGCAAACGGG
rnacentral:rRNA from 1 species